rnacentral:rRNA from 1 species
GACGAACGCUGGCGGCGUGCUUAACACAUGCAAGUCGAACGGAAAGGCCCUGCUUUUGUGGGGUGCUCGAGUGGCGAACGGGUGAGUAACACGUGAGUAACCUGCCCUUGACUUUGGGAUAACUUCAGGAAACUGGGGCUAAUACCGGAUAGGAUCUCCUGCUGCAUGGUGGGGGUUGGAAAGUUUCGGCGGUUGGGGAUGGACUCGCGGCUUAUCAGCUUGUUGGUGGGGUAGUGGCUUACCAAGGCUUUGACGGGUAGCCGGCCUGAGAGGGUGACCGGCCACAUUGGGACUGAGAGACGGCCCAGACUCCUACGGGAGGCAGCAGUGGGGAAUAUUGCACAAUGGGCGGAAGCCUGAUGCAGAAACGCCGCGUGCGGGAUGACGGCCUUCGGGUUGUAAACCGCUUUAGCCUGUGACGAAGCGUGAGUGACGGUAAUGGGUAAAGAAGCACCGGCUAACUACGUG